rnacentral:rRNA from 1 species
UAGGGAAUCUUCGGCAAUGGACGAAAGUCUGACCGAGCAACGCCGCGUGAGUGAAGAAGGUUUUCGGAUCGUAAAACUCUGUUGUUAGAGAAGAACAAGGACGUUAGUAACUGAACGUCCCCUGACGGUAUCUAACCAGAAAGCCACGGCUAACUACGUGCCAGCAGCCGCGGUAAUACGUAGGUGGCAAGCGUUGUCCGGAUUGAUUGGGCGUAAAGCGAGCGCAGGCGGUUUCUUAAGUCUGAUGUGAAAGCCCCCGGCUCAACCGGGGAGGGUCAUUGGAAACUGGGAGACUUGAGUGCAGAAGAGGAGAGUGGAAUUCCAUGUGUAGCGGUGAAAUGCGUAGAUAUAUGGAGGAACACCAGUGGCGAAGGCGGCUCUCUGGUCUGUAUCUGACGCUGAGGCUCGAAAGCGUGGGGAGCAAACAGG